UCAAGCAAGUUCCAUGACAACAAGCUGUACUUCCAAGCUGGUGAAUUACUUUGUUUAGGGAAAGUGAGUUAUUAAUUAUAUGACACAUCAAUUCAGUCUAUGCAAUCUUUUGUGUUUGCAUUUGCAAAUCCAUAAUUCCUUCUGUUGUGCACAGGUCUGAGUCCACAAUUUCUGUCCUUCCCCCAAAAGUUGGAGUGUUUUCAGUCAUGAGGUUUUGAAGCAACUCUGCCCUUAAGAGACCAUAACUUAGCUGCUCACCAGAAUAAUCAAAGCACCUCUGUCUUCUAGGGGAUAUAUUUCUAUUUCUAACAUAUUUGUGUUUCUAUUCUAACAUAUCCAGUUCCUGCAGCUGAGCUUACAACAUGAAGAAUUCACCCAAAGAGCUUGACUUGUACUUCCAUACAGCCUCCCUGUUCAACUAAUGGCAGCUUGGCUUUCAAAUGAAAUUAACACAGGGGCCAUCGGUGGGGAGGGAGACAGGGAGGGAGGCUGUGUGGUGUUCUGAGAUUGUAACUAAACUGUUGGUGACUUUGUGAUAAGAGACCUGGUGUUGGAUUAUAGAGUGAGAGGUGGGGUUCCAAAAAAGCAUUAGAAUCAGCACCAUGCAGGAGUGCUCUUUUCCUGGAGUAUUUGCAAAUGCUUCAUCCUAAUUGAGUCUGCAAACAGCUCUAACUCCCUUAAGGGAGUGAGAGGGUUUGCUCCUUGAGAAAUGACAGCCUGAAAAUGAGAGAACUGAGAGUUACACAAAUACAUUUUUACACUUUUUUUUUUUUUUAUAGAAGGUAUCUUGGACAGUUGGGCUGCCACAGUACAAGUUGUGGGGAUGCAUAUGCUGCCCCAGUCACCUUAAGAGUGUGUGGAUGCAGGUGAGCCUUUCCAAAGAACAACAAAUGCAUCAUUUCUAAGCAACCAAAUCCAAAGAACAGAGGAGACCUGCCCACUGUGGGUAAGAUACCAGUGACAAGGGAGGAGAAUUCACAAUGGAAUCCAAACAAGAUUUCCCAUGGCAAGUCCCAACGUGUUUUCUAAGUGUCAAACUCAGUAUCUAUGCAGAUCAGUUACACUUAGCAAAUUCCUGCAGAUAAAUUAGAGUUAAAUAAAGAGUCUGGGUUUAAAAUAAAUGCCAUGAUCAACUGCUGGUUUCUGUCGCUUACCUUUGGUGCCACAUUUAUAGCACAACACUGAAGCCAAGGGGUAAAUGAAAGGCUGGGACUUUGUCCAUGCUGACAACCUCCUGUCCUGCCCUGGGAAGGUGUAAGAGGCAGCCCAGUCACAUGUACUCAGUGUGACCAGUUCGUAUGGGUUUGUGAGAAGUGAGGGUUUGGGUGGAUUCCCUUAGCAGCCCUAUUGCUGAUGCAAGACAGAGUAUUUUUACAGCUUCUGUGCACUUCCUUCCUCUCCAUAUUAUAAAUCCUACAAUGCUGCAUUUAAAUGCUAAUUACUGAUCAAAUAUUAAACCUUUAUGAGUUUGUUUGAUUUGAGGGGGGAGACCAAAGAACUAUUCAUAGAACAGAAACUGAAGUGAAUUUCAGUGGUUCUGCACUGUAUGAUGAGGGGCUAAGUAAUUAUGUUGUACAAGUAAUAAGAUUUAGCUGCUAGCGACAGUACAGGAAAAUAAACCAUAUUCUAUUAAAUAUAUGGCUUGGGGUUGGGUUUUUUUGGUUGUUUUUUUUCUAAUAAUUGUGAAGAUGAACAGCCAAAAGUAUAUUGGACUGAAUUUAAAAAGCUAAAUCCUGAUGCUGCUGAAUUCAGUAGGUUCAGCCAUAUGCCCUGUGCCUUCAUAUCUUGUUAUUAAGCAGAAACAGCCAUGAGAAUAAAUUAGGAGUGCUCCUUUAUUGCCUUUGGUUCUGUCUUUAAUUUAAAUGUAUUGAGUCCUCCUUCAUGUUUAAAGAUAAGAAGUCACAAUAAUAUAAAAGGCUUUACUAAAAGUGACAAGACACUAAUAGAAGCAAUUGGAAUGACUUCUCUGUUGCUCUGCCUGCAUUCAGUAUCAGCAGCCUUUCAAAUGGAUAUUAUGUACUACAGGUUACUUAUAUAUAAUCAACCAGUGUAACGUGAAGUUUUAUGUGUAAAAUGGAACUGUCCUUUUUUUUGGCUUUUUUGUUUGGUUUUUAAAAAAUAUUGUUGCUGUUACACAUUGCAAAAUAUUCUCACCUUGUCAGCAGAGAAAGGAUUCAGUGCUCUUAAGAAAAUAUGGUAAGUCUGAGGCUUGUUAUGUGCAGUGUGUUCAGAGGUAUGAAAUCAGAUUGUGCUGGUAAUGCUGUAAGCACCAUAACAGCUGUUUGGUCUGUGUGGAGAGAGUUAGUAACACCAAAUAUGUAAAAUAGUCCAGUUCAAAUUAUCAACAAGUUGCAGUAGCAUCUCAGUAGGUAGUGGAAGGAUAGUAUUUAAAAAAGUGUUUUUAGCAGCAAUAUGUGAUUGGGUUUCUUUGUUGUUGUUGUUGUUGUUGUUGUUGUUGUUUGUCUGCUUGGGGUUUUUUGGUUUUGUAGUUUUUGUUCUGUUUUUUCCCCUAACUGUAUGUUUUUGUUGCAGUGACUGGGAUUUACAAAGUGAAUGUUGCUUAUACUCCCUUUAGGUACUUGUUUUUGAAAACCAUGGCAGUUUAUCUUGUAAAGACAUCUAAACUGUGGAAAAUGAUUAGAGGAAACCACAAAAUGUGUCUUGUCUCCAGUCUGCUUCUCAUACUUUGUUUCCACUGAAGCUUUAGCUGAAGUCUAGAAGUGUUCUCUAAGAGCUCAGCACAUAUUACUGUGAGACUCACAGGAGAAGGGUUCGUGAUCUCUCUUUUCCCUACACCACCAUCAAGCAAAUUGAUGAGAGUUGCUCUCUGUGGGAGUUCUGCACAAUGGUUUGCUCCCAUCAACUGAACACCAUCAGCCUGCUGUCUCUGUGUUAAUUUUUAAUGGCAGGGAUCACUACAAAUAGACUUGUCUACCUUUUAUCUGUCUCAAAAAAAAAAAAAAAAUCAAUGUUUUAUGAAUGUAUUCAUCACUCUGUCAUGCUGCUUUUCAGUGGUAGAAACUCAGAGUUGUCAGCAGGAGCACCCCUGUGUACAGACUAUAAACCAAGGCAAGAACUAAUGGUACAGCUAAUCUGGAAUUGUGUCUGUGCAGGUUAGAACAGAGUAGGAGAGGAAAGGAACAAACUUACACCAUCUUUUGCAGAGCAGGACAGUCUGCAGGUCAGCCUGGGCUCAAGAAGCAGAGAGCAUGGAGACUGGUGAUUGCAACAUGAUGAGUGGGCCUCUUGCUUGGAGUACAGGGCACCUAUGUGUGGGCUACUUGCUCAGCUUGGGUUUGUUGGGGCUUGUUUGCAAGACAGUAAAAUCCUUUAGUGGUGUGGAGGUUGCUGUGAUAGUGAUUGGGAAGCCACAUAAAAUGCACACAAGUAAUACAUUACUUGUACCUUAGCCUGCACAGCUAAAUGCCCCGCAGGGGUAAAAUUUUGGAAGAUAAUUUCUCUUUUAAACAUCAGACUGUCCUAAGCAAUUUCCCAGCAAAUAUGGAGUAGCUCAUGCCUGAGAGUGAGAAGUCUGCAGGAAAUCAGCAAAGAAACCCCAAAUCUAAGGAGUGAGGGUGAAUCUGUCAAAUAAUGCAGGUCCAGAAGAGGUUUAGUUAUGGGUGUAAAGGAGAUUGUUCAAUAGGCUGUGGGUUGGCAAGUCCAGCUUUGUGCUGGAAAUUGCCUUUAAAUCAAAGCACACAAGAUGCCACUCAGAGCUGAGACCUGCUAUUGUAAACAGGGUAACUUUCUCUAUGAGUUUGUUGCGUGCUGCCAGUCUGCAGGAAUGGCUGCACUCAGCUUCCCGGGAUAACACAGCUCCAUGGUCAGCUCUCUGCUCUCAGUGACAGUGGCUAAGAGCUCCUCAAAUGCUGGCUGGAGGGAGUAGGCCAUCUGCAUUGCUCCAUUUGCCUGUUCCCUGCUUUGUCCUUUCCCUGGGGUGCCUCAGUUUCUCCCUGGCACACAUGCACUACCUGGAGCUGUUUGAUGGCAGGGAAUUACUUGUUUGAACAAUAGGACACACCUGAUUUUUAACCUCACCACCAGAAGAUGUGCAUAGGAGGGUGUUACAUCAAUUACUUCAGUUACCAGUGAGUGGCUGUUCCCCG